CGCACAUUGCGCCCCUCGGUACUCCGGGGGGCAUGCCUGUCCGAGCGUCAUUUAUAGACAUCAAGCCUGGCUUGGUCUUGGGCGCGGUCGUUUGACCCGCCCGCAACCCGUCGGCGGUGCCGGUACGGUCCUGAGCGUAGCAAAACCACUCGUUCGGGGGCGUGACGGUGCCCGCACCAUCUAUAAACGCUUAGAUCUUGACCUCGGAUCAGGUAGGGAUACCCGCUGAACUUAA
rnacentral:misc_RNA from 1 species